GGGACUGGUGUCCGCCCGCGAGGAAGCGGAGGCGCGAUGCUCAAGCCCGUCGCGCAGGCGGCUUUCACGGAGCAGGCAGCAGGGCUGGGAGGCCAGGAUGAGGGGCAGGCUCACCCGCGGUGUUUGCCGCCAGUUCCACCUGAGGGUUUGCACUUUGUCCAGUUCAGGAGUUGCUUCGGGCCACCCGAGACUUACGGGCCCUUGUAAUGACAAUUACUAACAUGAAAGCCAGACUGAGACUUGGAUGCCCUUAAAUAUGGGGUCGCAGAUUCUUCACCCGGAUCACCAGGAAAACACGUGAAAGAUGAUGGUGCAAAAUCAUAAGAAGGGUUGAUGGGGGAAACAAGUAACAAGGUUACCACUGUUGUUUGCCUCACUACACAAAUUGAAAAGUUCUUAAGAAGCACUUCAACUGAGAGAUUCCAAGGUCCAGAUGGAAGCAUAUGUAAUGUCAAACAGCAACAGAUGCUGAGUAAAAUUCACACUACAAUAAUCCUAGGAAAGUGGAUGGGGUAUUCUGGAAAGAGUGUUACAGGCUGAAGGGAAUUAAAACAACUUUAACAUGUUCAGUAACUACCAUUGACACGUUCAUAAGUAGAUACACGUUAAUAUAUUAGUAACAUGUUCUCUUACUCUUUAUACUUAACCUGAAUUUCUGCAGGCUGUGAGAAAUAUUGCAUGAGCAAAAUUGUGUUAAAAGCUAUCACAAAUCACAUUUGGAAAAGCAACAGUAAGGUUGCUUUAAAUAAAGUAAAAGUAUUAUAAAGGUAAAAGUAGUAAAAGAGUAUCGGUCUGCAUUCCAAGAGAAAAAUGCCUCACCAUGUCCAUAGCCUAGCAGGUUAUCUAGGAAAAUACACCAUCCACAAAUGACCAAGUUAAUCUUAGAAUUCAUACAGUCCAAAAAUGACCAGGUUAUUUAAGAACACAGGGUCCAGAAGAUAAAUAAGGCACUUAAGAGACAAUAAUAUAAAACGGAUAGCGCACGGAAUGGGCGCAUGAGGAAACACAGAAAAAAAAAAAAUCUGUUAACUCUUGAGCCCAAGUAAUAGCAUAGCUGAAGACAUAUUAAGAUUGGAUAUAUAUGACUGUAGCGAGCUCACACAGUGCUCUGAGUAAGGUGCUCUGUUUCUUCAGCACUGGAUAUGCAGCACCCAUAAAUCUGACAGGCUGCAUGUACUGCAGCUUAUGCGAGUACAGUCUUAUCACUAAGGGGAGCUGUGUUGCAUUACCUAUUCUCAGGUUUUCUAAGUUGCUUGUGAUCUGGUAACCCAUUCUAGCUCUGUGUCACUGUGUAGUCUGAAUGCAACAAAUUGAAAAAGAAGCAUAAAGUCUUCAACUUUAAUUCAGAUUUUUUACUCUAAAGGUCUCAGAGUUUAUAAUGUCAAAAAAAUCUACAGAGAAGUAUGAUUCACAGUUUAAAUUAAAACAUCUUUUAUCUUUACAUACAUGCUUACAUUUGUAAAAACACAUAAAAAUUGCUGGGAUUUUUCUUCAGGUUGGAAUUCCCCAAAAGGAGCAAAAUUACACUAUAGAUAGUUACUUAUGAAGUUUAAAUCAUCUUGUAUUAACCACAAAGCUGCAGUUGGUCCUUACUCAGGAAAACACUCAUACUGAAUUCAAAGUACAGCUAAGUGCUUUGGCUUACAGGUCAGCAUGACUGACUUCAUGAAUUCAAGUACUGCCAGAGCAUUUAAGGUUCCUGUCACUUUUUAUUCCAAAGUUGUUUCCUGUUGCUUUUAACUGCAAAAAGACCAUUUUGGGCUAAGGUUUUCUAAGAUGUGUGGUUAAGUAUAGCCUGAUACUGGUAUCCUUCAAGGUCUAGACUGAAGUUUUAAUUACAAGUCACAAGAUGGCCCAUCAUGUUUUACCCCCUUUAAGAUAAGUCUCAAAACUUCAUUUCUAGUUUGUGACCCAGUUUAUGUAUAAUUGGCUUUUAGCUGUCGUUUUGCUACUUCUGCAUCACAGUUAUUUUAGAUGUCUUGUGCCAAAUCAAAGAGGUUCUUUGCCCAGAGGCACAACAUUGGAAGAUUUCAUUAUGUGGCAAUUCUUUUAAUAAUAGCAUGGCUUUUUUUUUUCCUGAUCAAAAAUACAUUAAUGAACAGGGCUCUGUGUCUGCUGUUGUCUGAUGAAUAGUAAAAAAUUGAACAUCAUUCAAAACAGCCUGGGAUAAUAAAUGAAAUAAUAAUAUGAGAAGAAUUGUAGAGAUUUAACACCAUAUCUGGAGUUUUGGUAGGUUUUGGCACCUUAAUACCUUAACCAGAUACUGAAUCGAUAAGACAAGUUUAUCUUCCCAAAAUAAUACACAUAUCAUUUUUUACCUUCAUUCACAAAAAUUGCUUCAGAUACAAUGCUGCUGCUGCUGCAUGCAUGUAGCUAACCAAACACCUUUUCUUCCUCCCACACUGAAAACUAUUUAUCAUAUAUCAUAGAAUCAUAGAAUCAACUAGGUUGGAAAAGACCUUUAAGAUCAUCAAGUCCAACCAUUACCCCAGCACUGCCAAGUCCAUCCCUAAACCAUGUCACUGAGAUGAGAUCCACGCAGUUUUUGAACACUUCUAGGGACAGCAAUUCCACCACUUCCUGUGCAGUGUGUUCCAAUGCCUGAUCACCCUCUAUUAGGAAAUUUUUCCUAAUAUCCAAUCUAAACCUCCUCUGGCACAGCUUGAGGCUGUUUCCUCUUGUCCUAUUUCGUGUUGCCUGGGAGAAGAGACCAAUCCCCACCUUGUUCCCAUCCUCCUUUCAUGUACUUUUAGAGAGGAAUAAGGUUCCUCCUGAGCCUCUACUCCAGACUAAACAACCUCAGUUCCCUCAGACGUUCCUCAUCAGACUUAUUCUCCAGACACUUCACCAGCAAUAUACAUGCUAUCUUAGGUAUUUCUUCACAGUUCAAGUAAUAUUUUGGUCUAAAAUCUACUUGUAGACAGGAUAUAUAGGAGAUUUUUAGAAAGGUAGAAACAAAUCAAAGUUCUUUCACACAUGGGAUUCAGCAUUAUUCCUCAAAGAGACCUGUUCAGGAUGUCAUUAGAAAGAGUGCUUGAGACUGGGGAUAAUGGAGAGGAGAAUGUGGUGCUUCACUGUGGAUGUGGCCUUGGCAGAGCAAGAGGCAACUACUUAUCUUACAGGCAGGAUACGAGUGUGUUUCUUUGCAAUGAGACAUAACCCACACCUGCAGGAAAUCAGUUGAAAAUGGCUGUUUAAAACACAAGUUCAAGACAUAAAACUUCUCACGGGAAGAAUUAUUUUGCCCUUCCAAAGUUCGUUCCUGGCUUGUAAGCUUAAUGCCAUACUGUGUUCUGACCUUGUGCUCAAGAAGUGGGUGGCAGAUCUGUCUGAAGGACAGAAUUCUGUCCUUCAGAAUUAAACUGCUAAAAAAUGCUGAUAUGGUACACAACGUUUAAUAGCAACAGUAUGGCAUGUUACCCUCUUUCAAGUACAAUGUCUGGAUUGCAAAAUACACAUUUGUUUUUCCUUC